GAUGAAGAACGUAGCGAAAUGCGAUACGUAAUGUGAAUUGCAGAAUUCAGUGAAUCAUCGAAUCUUUGAACGCAUAUUGCGCUCUUUGGUAUUCCGAAGAGCAUGCUUGUUUGAGUAUCAGUAAACACCUCAAAGCUUUUGGAUUUUUUAAUCGAAAAGCUUUGGACUUGAGCAAUCCCAACACCAAUCUUUUUGAGAUCGGUGGCGGGUUGCUUGAAAUGCAGGUGCAGCUGGACAUUCUCCUGAGCUAAAAGCAUAUUCAUUUAGUCCCGUCAAACGGAUUAUUACUUUUGCUGCAGCUAACAUAAAGGGAGUUUGACCGUAUUGGCUGACUGAUGCAGGAUUUCCCAAGGGUCGGCAACGAUUCUUGUUAAACUCGAUCUCAAAUCAAGUAAGACUACCCGCUGAACUUAAGCAUAUCAAUAAGCGGAGGA
rnacentral:misc_RNA from 1 species